rnacentral:lncRNA from 1 species
GUUUUGCUGCUAAUCUAGAGACAUAACAGCUACAGGUAGUGUUAGUUUUUUGUUCUUGUACAUACUGAUAUUAGAUUCUCGCUAGAGCGAGUGUUUUUGUAUUUGGAUACUAUGUAUGUAUUUGAACCGAUGUUAUUUAUGUCUUUCUUUUUAGUAGCUUUAUACUAUUGGUUGUAGUAUUGUAUGAUUACAGGUAUAAGUACAGCUAUCGCUUCGUAUACAAGAAAAAUUUUUUUGUGUACGGUGGGUCUGUUAGCGUGCCCGGAAAAACGAGUAAUUCGGAGCGUAACAUAUAUAUAUAUAUAAGUUUGAUUUUUAAACUUAAUUGUGAUUUAAACUUCAUCUUAAAUUCGACUGUAGAAUACAAUUAUGAAGACUUAAAGAUUGAAUUUGAACAGUAAUAUUUGAGAUUUAAAUUCAAAAUUUGAGAUCAAGUUGUGAAUUAAGUUAGAUUUUGAUUUGAAUUCAUUCUUGAAUUUUAUUUAUGAAUCAAAAUUGAAUUAAAAGUUUAAAUUUAAUUUUGAUUUACGAAUUAAUUUUAAUUUUGGGUUUCACUUUGACUGGAAAUUUGAAUAUUGAAAAUCAAUUUCAUGUUUUUAAUUUGAAUUGUUAAUAAAAUGUAGAUUCCAAUUUAAAUUUAAAUUGGAAUUUAUAUUUAUAUUUAUAUUUAUAUUUAUACUUGAAAGUUUAGUGUAACUUCGAAUUUAAAUCAAAAUUUUAAUUCAAUUUCAAAUUUGAAGUUUAAUUUAUAUUCAAAUUUAUAUUUAAAUUCUAAUUGACGAAGAUCAAAUUGAGCUUCACAUAAAUUAACUUUAAAUUUAAAUUCAAAUUCUAGAUUUCUAAUUUUGACUUCAAUGAGUUUUUCCUUUUAACUCCAAUUUUUGUACGAAACCAAACGCAUACACGCAUACAGAGAAGGCAUCGUUCCAUUUACCAUUCUAUUUUGUUACUUCAAAUAUGUUUUCAUUUUUUUGAGAGAUAGGUAGCAUGCUACCCGCUUCAUUUAUUUCAUUUAGAAAUAAAUUAACUUAGCUGGAAAUGUGAAUUAACUAGGAUUCGAAUUUAGGACCUCGAAUACCAACUACCAAGCCUUUUUCCACUUACGCUAGGGACGGUCGGUAAAUAUGUUUUCAUUUUGAACCAAAAUUUCUGCCAAAACAAUACUAGUUUUACUAAUUUCUAGGGUAAUAAUUUUCCAUCCAAAUACUGGCAUUGUGCUUCUUCAAAGCAGCAGCUACGGACUUUACUUUUAACAAUAUUUACUACAAGUUAAAUCGUUUUGUCGACCUUAAAAUUCAACAAAGGUGAACAGUUCAACCGCUCCAUAACCUAACAUCUUAAUAAUAUAGUAAAUAAAAUAUAUAUUAUAUAUAUUGUUAUUUAUGUUAAAAUCUAAUUUGUAAUUCUUAGAAUACUAAAAGUCUUUUUGGAAGUCUAAGAGUCAUUUUGGAAUUCUAAAGGUCAUUUGAUCUUGGAAUUCUAAGAGUCAAGAAGUCUAACAGUUAGUGAAGAAAUUAAUGAGGAAACUCAAGAGUCAUGUAAAAGUCUAUAAAUAGGAUGUCAUGCAAUGCCAAGUAACAAAGCCCCCAAGAGUUCUCUUGUACUUAGCCAAAUUAAUAAAAAGAUCUUCCAAUUCCUUUAAAAAUAGUUGUUAAAUCCUCCCUGCACCCAACAAAAUGGUAUCAAAGCCAAUUUCCCUCAAGUCCUUCAUCUCAAAUCUAGCACUUCAUGGCAACUAGUGCUGGAGCAAGCUCAAGCAAUGCAGCAGCAACAACAAGCAUCACCACCUUCAACUAUAUGCAAAAUCAAGUACCAAUUUUUGACGGAGAAAGUUACGAUUUUUGGAGCAUCCAGAUGAAAACUCUCUUUCUGUCACAAGACUUGUGGGAUUUGGUAGAAGGAGGCUAUGAAGAACCAGAAAAUCAAGAAGCACUUGCAACAUGGACUCAGGCAAAGCAAAAGGAGUAUAAAGAGAACAAGAAAAAGGAUGCAAAAGCUCUACUUUUCAUCCAGCAAGGGGUAAGUAAAACUAUAUUUCCUAGAAUUUUGGGUGCAACUAAGUCAAAAGAAGCUUGGGAAAUUUUAAAAAAAGAGUUCCAAGGCUCCGACAAAAUCAUCACCAUUAAGCUUCAAUUAUUAUGGAGAGAAUUUGAUAAUCUAGCCAUGAAAGAUAAUGAAAAUAUAAAAGAUUUUUGCUCUAGAGUUGCCGGAAUCAUAAAUCAAAUAAGAAGUUAUGGAGAUACAAUUGAAGAGAAAAAGAUAGUUGAGAAAAUUUUAAGAAGUUUACCGGCUAAAUUUGAUCAUAUUGUUGCUGCAAUCGAAGAAUCGAAAGAUUUAUCUAUAUUUACUUUGCAUGAACUGAUGGGUUCUCUUGAGGCACAUGCACAAAGAAUGAGCAGGUUUACAGAUCAAAAUAUAGAGCAAGCAUUUCAAUCCAAACUAACAAUCCAAGAGAGGAAAGCUGCAAGUAUGGAGCGAGAUGGCAAAGAUAGAAGACAGUUCCAAAGGAGAAAUCAAGAUAACUGGUCUCGUGGCAGAGGUAAAGGCCGAAAUGGACAACCAAUUCAAAGAAAUGGUAACUUCAAUUCCCAAUAUUUUAUUUGCAAAAAAUUUGGACAUGAAUCUAAAAGUUGUCGUUUUCGAUGCAAAAGAUGCAAGAUUCCAAAUCAUUCUGAAAGAGACUGUUGGUUUAAGGAUAAGAAAGAUAAAAAUGAAGCAAAUUUUUCUAAAGAAGAUAACGGUGAACAAUUAUUUUACUCUUGCAUGAAUGCUCAUCAAGAAUCACAAGAAACUUGGUAUUUGGAUAGUGGUUGCAGCAAUCAUAUGACAGGGAAUCGAGACUUCUUUGUUGAUCUACAUCAAGAUUCAUCUUCUCAAGUCAAGCUUGGUAAUGGCAAGCUACAACAGAUUGAGGGCAAAGGGGUCAUAGCUGUCUACACAAAAGGAGGUAUGAAAAGGUUAAUUCAUGAUGUUCUCUAUGUUCCAGGCUUAACUCAAAAUUUACUAAGUGUUGGACAGUUAUUGCAAAAUGGAUAUACAGUUAUAUUUGAAAAAGGUGAAUGCAAAAUUUUUGACAAAGACAAGAAGGCAUUAGUAGCAAAUAUUAAGAUGACCCCAAAUAAAGUUUUUCCUCUGAACAUGCCAACCAAGCAAAAUAUUGCAUUAAAAAGUGAAAAAGUUGAUGAAUCAUAUUUGUGGCACUUGAGAUAUGGCCACUUAAACCUUAAAGGACUUCAUCUAUUAAAAGAGAAGAACAUGGUUUUGGGUCUUCCGUCAAUAAAUAAAGUGGACAAAAUUUGUGAAGGAUGUGUUUACGGAAAGUUACAUCGCCUUCCAUUUCCUAAAACAUCUUGGAGAGCAAAGGCUCCGCUCGAACUAAUUCAUGCAGAUAUUUGUGGCCCUACAAGAACUCCUUCUUUUAAUCAAAAGAGAUAUUUUCUUCUCUUUGUAGAUGAUUACACUAGAAUGAUGUGGAUAUAUUUUCUUGAGCAAAAAUCAGAAGCUUUUUCUAUCUUUAUUCAAUUCAAAGCAUAUGUUGAAAAACAAAGCGGCCACCAAAUAAAGAUAUUAAGAACAGAUCGUGGAGGUGAAUUUACUUCUCAUUCAUUCAACAACUACUGCAAGGAGAAUGGAAUUAAAAGGCAACUUACUGUUCGACAUACACCACAGCAAAAUGGUGUAGCAGAACGCAAAAAUCGAACUAUAGUAGAAAUGGCUCGAAGCAUGAUGAAAGGAAAAGGACUACCAAAUCAAUUUUGGGCUGAAGCAGUCAAUACUACAGUUUUUAUUCUUAACAGAUCUCCUACAAAAGCUGUUCAAAACAAAACACCUUACGAGGCUUGGCAUGGACAAAAACCUCAGGUAAAAAAUCUAAAAAUCUUUGGGUGUAUUGCUUAUGCUCUCAUUCCAUCACAAUAUAGAGAAAAAUUUGAUGAAAAAGGUGAAAAAUAUAUUUUCAUUGGAUAUAGUGAAGAAUCUAAAGCUUAUCGUCUUCUUAAUCCAAAAAACAAUCAACUUGUUGUUUCUCGAGAUGUACUCUUUGAUGAGUUAGCAGCAUGGAAUUGGAAUGAAAGCGCUACACAACAAACAAGAACAAUUGAGUUUAUGGAGCCAAGCAAUAAUCAAGAAGAUCUACAACAACAGGAAAGUCCAAGUGCAUCAAGAGAAGGCAGAUCAAUUCAAGUGACCUCUGAUACAGAGUCGCCUCCCAGAAAGGUACGCUCCCUAAGUGAAAUAUAUGCAUCUUGUGAUGUUGCCUUUUUUGCUUGUGAGCCGCAGAAUUUUCAAGAAGCAAGCAAAGAUGAUAUAUGGCUUAAGGCUAUGGAUGAAGAAAUGGCAUCCAUUGAAAAGAAUCACACUUGGGAGCUUGUUGACCUUCCAAACGGAAAAGAUGUCAUAAAGCUCAAAUGGAUUUACAAGACCAAAUAUAAAGAAGAUGGCUCCAUCGAUAAGCACAAAGCUCGGUUAGUUGCAAAAGGAUAUAGCCAACAACCAGGUAAGGAUUUCACUGAAACUUUUGCACCUGUUGUACGCAUGGAGACUGUUAGAACUGUUCUUGCUCUAGCAAGCCAACUAGAAUUGCCAGUUUAUCAACUCGAUGUUAAGUCGGCAUUUUUAAAUGGAGAAAUUGAAGAAGAAGUUUACGUUGAACAACCUGAAGGGUAUAUUAUAGAAGGAAAAGAAAAUCAAGUCUAUCGACUGCGAAAAGCCUUAUAUGGCUUAAAGCAAGCACCACGUGCUUGGAAUAGCAAGAUUGAUAAAUAUUUUCGCCAAAAUGGUUUUGUGCGGAACCCAAGUGAGCCAUCACUUUAUGCAAAAUGGCUAAAAGACACACAAGAUUUUUUGAUCAUUUGUCUUUAUGUUGAUGAUCUUAUCUACAUGGGCACUAAUCCUAUCAUGGUUGAAGAAUUUAAAAAAGCAAUGAUGAAAGAAUAUGAAAUGACUGAUCUUGGUCUCAUGCGAUAUUUUCUUGGCAUUCAAGUUAAACAAUCAAAAGGAGAAAUUUUGUUGACACAAGAAAAAUAUAUUGAAGACUUGUUAUCAAAAUUUCAUAUGUCAAAUUGCAAGCCUGUCGAAACUCCUAUAUCCAAGAAUGAGAAAUUCCAAUUGCAUGAUGGUGCUCAGAAGGUUGAUGCUACAAUCUAUAGAAGUUUAGUUGGCUCUCUUAUUUAUCUAACAAAUACAAGACCAGAUAUUGCUUUUUCUGUUAGUUUGUUAUCCAGGUUUAUGAGCCAGCCAAGUAAGAUUCAUUUUGCAGCUGCCAAGAGAAUUCUUCGCUAUCUACAAGGCACAAAAAAUUUCUGUCUCAAGUACAAAAAGGAGAAUGACAACAAGCUUGUUGGGUACACUGACAGUGAUUGGGCAGGCUCUCUCGACGACCGAAAAAGCACUUCAGGUUAUAUUUUCUGCUUGGGAACAAAAGUGAUUUCUUGGUCCUCUAGGAAGCAGAAGGUCGUGGCAUUAUCUACAGCAGAGGCCGAGUAUAUUUCCGCAACCGAUGCAGCAUGUGAAGCUAUGUGGCUCAAGAAAGUUCUUUCUGAUCUACACCAGCAAGAAAAAAUACCAACCAUCAUUCGAUGUGAUAAUAUGUCGGCAAUCGCAAUGAUGAAGAAUCCUGUCUUCCACAACAGAUCGAAGCAUAUUGACAUACGUCAUCACUUCAUUCGAGACUUGGUUGAGCAAGGCGAUAUUCAACUUGAGUAUGUCAACACCAAUGAACAACUAGCAGACGUCUUCACCAAAGCAGUAACAAUUGAAAAAUUCAAGCAUGCAAGAGAUAUUAUGGGAAUUACAAAUUAAGGGGGGAUGUUAAAAUCUAAUUUGUAAUUCUUAACUAAAAGUCUUUUUGGAAGUCUAAGAGUCAUUUUGGAAUUCUAAAGGUCAUUUGAUCUUGGAAUUCUAAGAGUCAAGAAGUCUAAGAGUUAGUGAAGAAAUUAAUGAGGAAACUCAAGAGUCAUGUAAAAGUCUAUAAAUAGGAUGUCAUGCAAUGCCAUGUAACUAAGCCCCCAAGAGUUCUCUUGUACUUAGCCAAAUUAAUAAAAAGAUCUUCCAAUUCCUUUAAAAAUAGUUGUUAAAUCCUCCCUGCACCCAACAAUUUAUACAUGCAGUAUAAAAUGCUUAAAUUUAUAGGAAAAAAAUGUUAUGAAAAUGAUAUCUAGAGUUUUUAAGAUUUUUUUAUUUAGAAAAUGUUUUCGUAUUAUUAGUAAAAAUAUAUAAAAUAAAAGAAAAACAAUCAAAAUUGAACUCAAAAUGUUCUUUAGAACAUAUUUUAAUUUUGGAAAAUUCUAGACCAUUGAACGAAUGAUGCUGAGUGUUCAUAAAAGGAUGUUGUGUGAUGAAUGAACGAUUCUCGGUUAAACCAUGUGGAUCGUAAAUAGUUUUCUAGUUCAACCGCAUGCUAGUAAGACACAUGCAAAGCAGUUUCUAUAACAUUAAUGUCCAAACUGGUAAUCUCUCUCAGGCGAGACAAAUGGUGGACAAAGUGAUUUUCCUUCAAUCAUUUCAAUUGGUUGACAGAGUUCAAAUUGUAAAACACAGCUUCUAGUAAGCGUUUAGCAAGUAAAAAAAUUUGAUUCUCUUCUGCAACAGAAAAUAAAAUAUUGAGGCUUAAAAUUGUGUUGCGCAUCUGUUAUAGAGAAUCUUCCUUGAAGUAAUUUUAUCACAAUAUUUUUUUGGUCUUGAAAUACUAUCCAUAUAUUACUAGGUACAAUCUUAUAGAGGAUAAGCUUAUAUACAAAUAGAAAGUACCUAUCAAGUAACAAAAUUUUAGUAGUUCUAAUUAAAAAAAAAAUAUUAAUGUUAUAAAUCAUAGGUAGGGAUGUAAAACGGGCUGGGAGGUCCAAGGGCCACAUGGCUCGACACAGCUCUGGGCUAGACCUAGCUAGAUCCGUGUCGGACUGACAUGGCCCAAACUGAUGGGCUCUGCUGAGCCUAAAUAUUUUGGUGUAUCGGCUCGACUCGACACGGCACGGCACGGUAUGGCUUAAAACGGGCAUGGCACGUCUCACUUACCUCCAAGCCUCGGCUUUUUGGGCUCUCUUUGGUAGCUGAGCCAUUCUUUAAAAUUUUUCAAAUCAUUAAUUUUAACUUUUAAAUUUUCGUCAAAAUAUUAUUUAAAAUUCUAAAACUUUGUUCAAAUAAUUUUAAUUAAAAUUAUAAAAUCUAUUCAAAUAAUUUUAAAGAUAUUUAUAAUUUUUUUAAAAUUUUAUCCAAAUAAUUAUUAAAUUUAAAUUUUUAUCAAGAUAGUUUUAAAUUUUUUUUAAAAAUAAUAUUAAACUUUUAAACCAUGAAACCCCCAAUAAUAAUUAAAAAAAUAGAAUAUUUUAUUUUGUAAAAUAUUUGAAGUCAAAAAAUUUAAAAACCUAACAAAAGUACUGGCCCGGCACGGGCCUAACCCGACCCCCAAAACAUAAAAAUGUCUUCUUCAUUUUAAUCAUAUCAGUACAUAGGAUAUAUCUUAAUAUAUAAGAUGACAAAAAAACUUAGUUAUGAAUAUAUGAUCUUCUUGUAUUUAUGUGCAAAAUAAAAGUUUCGGAUUGAAUUUUGUUAUUUCCACUUAGAAUUAAUAAUAAUAAUGACGGAGAAAACUUUUUCUUUAAAUUACGAUCCUUAUAUAUUGUCCGUAUAUUGGCCAUUUCACGUGGCACAUUGUACCGUGCGCAUUGAAUCAUUGUACUGUGCGCAUUAAUUACUCAAAUCCGUCACAUGAGAUUGUAGAUAUGUUAAUAACAUUCGAGGAUUAUAUUAUAACCAUAGCACUACGCUUAAAAUUUUAAGAUCACAUUUCAACGUCCGAAUAAGUUAUUUGAAAAUAACUUAUUCACUAUAAAAAUUUUCUAGUAUACUUCUUAAGUAUCGGGUCUGAUUUUUGCUUCUUUUAAAGAUCUCGUUCUUCAUAAUUUGAAAGAAUGAUAUAUUUUAUCUACAAAAUUAUUUGUCUUAUUCUGACUUGAAGCUUGAAUGUAAGAUCUCGUUUUAAAUAUUUGAUCGCACUCCGUAUCAAUUAAAUAUACAAAUUUAGUAAAUUAGUUGAGGACAUAUACAAAAUAAGAUAUUCAUAUACUCAAAUAAGAUCUACCGCAAAAAAUAAAUGUAUAUUUUUUCUGAGAAAAUAAUAAUAAGCUAACGUAACUAACAUUUCGUUUAUUUUUUAAAAAUAUAAAUUUAAUAAAAGGGUUAAUUUUAUAUAUGUCCCUGCAAAUAUAAUGAAUAGCAAAUAUAUUCCUAUAAAGUUCAACUUUCAUAUGUUGUCUCUGCAAAAGUUUUAAUGUUUUCAAAUAUAUUCCUCUGAUUUGUUAUCGUUAGAGAACCGUUUAUAUUUUCAAUUUUGUCAUCACAAAUAUAUCCCUCCAAAAACCAUACUAGUAUAAUAUAAAGGGAUAAAAAUGUCAAAAACUAACUAGAGUUCAGUAUUUAACCUAUGGUUAAUUAAUUUUUUCUAACUGAUUCUUACGACAGGAACAUAUUUGAAGAUAUCAACAGUUUUACAGAGACAAUAUAUAAAAAUUAAAUUACAUAAAAAUAUAUUUAUUAUUUAUUAUAUUUGAAAGGACACGUAUGAAAUUAACCGUCAGUAAAAAUACAAAUUGACUAGCCUUCCUCGCUUGGAACUUCUUGUAAGCAAAGUGUGUAUUGUACUUGUGUUAAGCUUUGAUAUGAUUCUGACGUGGGAGCCAAUUGAUUGAUUAGUCCAAUGAGAUAGAUAGAUACCACUUUUUAACUCUUUUUAGAUUUAUGUACAGAGCUUCUUUUUGUGGGAGCCUUUCUACUUUCAUCGCUUUCCAGGUUAUUUAUUUAUUUAUUUAUUAAUAAUAUUAAUAUUAAUGGUUAGGAAGAAUUUGCUGACGUGGUCUUAUCCCGAGCGCGACAGGUCAGCAUCCGCAGAUUCUCCUACCUCAUCUGUUUCCUACGUGGCGGGGACUCGUUGGCCCGUGCUAAUUUCGCGGUGCUCAAAACCAGUCGUAGGGUGGAGCCCAUAGCGCACGGAUUAGGCACGAUCAUGCGUCCAGGCCAAAAUACAAACUAGCCUUUCCAUCCAAUCAGAAGUCGACACGACACCAUCAGGCGGUGCAAUAAUUGGACCACCUGGAACGCGCCAUCGUGUCCGAAACGCGAGACCCCAGACGCGACAACAACUCGGCCGAUAUUUUAAACCGUACGGGGCCCGCCAAAACGUGAUUGGCGUUUUUUGCAGGAGGAACCCCCUGAUUCCUUGAUUUUACAGUUACGUCAAUUUUAAAGUAGGCUUUCCAUGUUAGAGUUAGAGACCCCUCUCGUGUCUUUUGUCCGCGAGAGUGUUUGACUCUCUUCUAUGUCUAGGCUAUUUGGCCGUUAAAUUUAUUUCCUUUUAUUAAAGGCAAGUUUGAUUCACAAAAUUUAAUUUUUUUUAUUAAAAUUUUUUUAAAAAUAUUUUUUAUACCAAAAUUUAUGGCUUGUGAAAAUAUUUUCGUUUGGCACAUGCCGUAAAUUAUACAGAAAUUAUUACUUUUGCAAUUUGAUUAAUUCAACAUAGAAAUCACUCAACUGUACCAAUAAAAUUAUUAUAGUAUUCUUUUUUGUAGAGACUAAUUAAUAUUAUGUAUCAUGUUAACUCAAAUUAACCAUAUAAAAAUCAUACUAUUUGAAUUUGUGAAAUCUAUUUAAAUAUUUUUAAAUUUAGAAAAUUUAUAAUUUUGUCUAUCUCUUGUUCUAAAAUUAAACUUUUAGUUAUAUACUAAAUUUGCAAAAGGGUAUCUAGUCUUUUUAAAUCAAAUUUUUUGGGCAAAAGAAAAUUUACCAAGGGAGGAGGUACGUUUUCAAAUCCAAUUAUAAAUGCUCAAAAUUUUUAAUUUAUGCAAAUGGUUCAAUUUAUUGAUUUUCGAUCAAAGACCUCAAAUUUAAGGUCAUCUCUCGUAGGAUGCCUCUUUUUUUUUUUUUGUUAAAGAUGUAAGUUCUGCGUAGAGUAAUGUAAAGAGAAAGAUGGAUUAUUGCAAUGCUUACAAUUAAAGUAUUUAUUUGGCAAUAAAAAAUUUAAACUUGGAGCCAAUUAUUUUUCCUUCUAAGAUUUUUUUGUUUUUUUUUAAGUUGUUAUCCAUCAUUUGGUUGGCAUACUAUUGGUGAAAAAAUGUGUAGCCUGAUACCUGGUACGCUCUCAUUGGUCCACCUUUUAAAGUUCCUUUGAUUCAAGGUUGGAUAUGACUAUGUCUCACGUACAGAUGAGAGAGGAAAUGGUUCGAUAGGGUUCUUACUUCACCCAAAGAAGGUUCAACCCCUCAAGAUGUACCUCGAGGUUUCAAAAGCCAGCUGAACUAGAAAGCGUUUAACCUCUUAGAUCUCAAUCAUUCAUCUAGACUGGGAUCGAGCGAGGGAAAUCAUUGGGAUGAAGUAGAGGACUUCACGUGGCGAAAGUGUGUAAUGUGGACAAGCAUUCAUCGAUGAUGAGCGGGGUGGGUGAUCAUGUGAGGGUCUGAUCGGUCAUGGACUCAUGAGUGGUUGGCGUUGGAAAUUUAGGAUGAUACUUCAAGAAGAUCUCUACAUUACGGCUACCUAUAGGCUACGUUACACUUACUUCUAGGAAAGAUAAAGGGUAGAAUUUAUGAUCGGUUGGUGAUGCCCCAAUCUUCUUACAGCCAUUCUCUUCCUUUUGUAGUCUCUGGAUUUGAAUCUUGUCUAACAAUAAUGGGAGCGAUUUUUGUGAAAUAUUUGCACCUUUUUUCAAAAUCAUUCCUUAGUUAUCCACCUAUUUUUUAAUUUUUCGGUAUUCUCUAUUUGAAUAUUCGAAUUUUGAAUGCAGACUUGCCUUCUUAGACCUUGCCAAAGCUUUUGCCCUAGUAUGCUUCAUCAUGUUGAAGCCAAACCUUUUUGCCAAAGCCCCUCCUUCGGCGAUCCUUAUACAUCCUCUUGGGAUCAGUCACACAUUUAGCAAAAAUUAGGUGCAUGUAAACAAUUGUUUUUCUUUGAUGGUUACUUGUCUUCUGAUAAACGACAAGUAAUCGUUGAUUUGAAUACUUAUUAUACAUUAAAUAUUUUUGCACUUCAACGUGAGACCUCACAGCAUUGCUAGACGCUUUGGUAGGGUAAUUCGUUGCAAAUUCUUCUGCAAGAGAGUCUUUACGGCAGCUUAUCUUUCUAGACCAUUCUUUCAACUUUACUCCAUGGUCCUAAUGAAACUAAUGUUUUCAUCCUUAUAUUCGGCCCCAGUUGACUAUGCCAAACCCUUUAGCUUCAAUCAAAGUUAUGUGUAGUGUCCUUGGGGGUUAGCUAUCGAAAUGACUAUAGUAUUAGUGACUGUCGACACAUCUAUAGAGUGUCGGAACGAGUUGGAACCGUUUUAACACGAAAUGGAUGCGAAAACGGACUCGGCGUACUCAAAUAAGCCAAAACUAAAGUUUUGGCAGUUUAGGGUGCCCAGAAGUGGUUUAGGCGCCCAGAUCCUGAGUGAUGUUUGGUAUGGGAUGUUGAAGUCAUUUCAGACCCUGCUUAGGGCGCCUGAAAGUUGAGCGCGAAAGUUUACUUCGUGAAUAUCGAUCGUGUUGACACGUGUGUGGUGGUAGGUGAGAUCCGCUGGAACCGGUUAGCAGAGUAGCAGACCACCGGACGGAGAACCCGAGGGGCUGAGUUGUGCAUGCUGGAAGUUAUGGGUGCCCGAUUCUGGGUUCUGAGUGCCCAAAUCUAGAGUUUUCAACAGAGUAAUAGGUUAUUACCCUUUGAUCUUGUGGCUCAUUUUAUCCAACCUAUACCUUUAUAAAAAUGGAAGAACGUUCCCUGAGAGCUCUUUUCACCUCUUCUUCACAGUGAGCUUAUAUUUUUGCACCAAACCCCCUCCACACCUUCAAAUUUCUAUUUUGUGGCAUUGAAGGCUUAGAUUUCAGUAGAUAUCCAGCAGCGGCCUUGGAGUUUCGGCUCGUGUGCAGCGUAGAAGCACCCAAAUGUUGUUAAACUUGGUUUCGUGGAUUGUGAACUUAUAGAAGAGUGUGUUGAACCAUUUCAACAGUAGUUUGAUUAGGUAUAUAGGCUCGAAUCGUUAUUUUCCUGAGAUUUUAGUAUUCUUGAGCUGAAAUUGAGGUUUUCUUGGUGUUUAUGGAUUCGAAUGCCUUGGGAGCUGAAUUUUUGAAAUCGGGUUUGGUUUUCCAUCAUCCCUCAUUGGUUUAUAAGGGACUCCCCACUUGAAUUAUCGAUCUCAAGGCGAGUUUAGCUCGGAUUUUGGAUAAUUAAGUUUAUAUGCUGAUUUUUGAUGGUUUUGAGGGAAUUGUUGGAUUUUUGAAUCCAGAUCUUUGUGGAGAGCUAAUUCCUAGAAUUAGAGGUGUUCUUCCCUCACUUGUGAAAGGUUUGGACCCAACCUUAUUGAAGCUUCAAGCUGGAAAUUCCAAAAUUGAGCUGAGUUGCAUGUUUUCUUAAGUGCUGAAGUUUUGGAUGCAAAUUCUGGGCAUCCAGAAGUUGGGUCCGAAUUGGUGUGAAGGACUUUUGGUGAUCAUUUCAAGCUCAAUUUUGGUAAGAAACCUAAAAAUUAUUCUUAAGCAUCUAGAGGUGAGUUGAGUGAAGUUUCACUGCAUUUGGAUACGGGAAUUAGAUUAAAUCAUAUGUUGAACUCCUGUAGGUUGAAGCUGCCAGGCGCCAGUUCUGGGCUCACGUUCUGGGCGUCCAGAAAUGCUACAAAGUGGAUCCAAAUCUUAUUUUUCAGCUGAUUUAUUUUCGGUUGCGGCUGAUUUUGUGCGGGGCUUCUUCUAUCGACUUCUGGUCGUGGUUGGACUAGCGUUAAUGCCGUCCGAAGACUUUGGAAUGCCUCCUAAGCAUAUGAAAUCCCAGCAUGUAUAGUUUUACAUAUAAUCAUCCUAUAGUUCAAACUGUAGAUUUGCAUGUUAUAGAUGAAAUCUAAGUUUGAAGCAUUUUUAGCUAAUUUAUAGUAACUAUUAUCUGCUGAACUGAAAUUUGACUUAGGAGAAAACUUAUUAAUCUACACCUGUCACUUUUCGAAAUGUUAUCAAAUUUAGCUUCAGGAGCUGAUUUUUCUUUUGUAUUACCGUCGUUAGUGCAUCGUGGAUACUUAAACUAGUAUAGGUGAGAUUACGCUCGUGCUGAGAGGCCGAGCUCGUUUUUACAGUAGAGUUAGAUUAUUUUGUACUGUCGGGUGUCGUCGGGGCUGAUGGUGGACCCAGAUUCUUAUAUCUUUUAUCAGAUUGUGCCGAGGGCACGCGAACCUUGAUUGUUGGACCAGUUUAACAAACCAAUUUAUAUUGAUUAUAGCUUGUGCGAGCCUGAUUGAGUUUGACAUAGACAUGCUUGCAUACUCGGUUGGAUUGAGCCCACGAGUGCAGUUCCGGAAUGAGACUUUUUUUGCAUUGAUGUCGCAGCAGUCUCGUUUGGACAGUUUUCUUGGAUCGACCACUACCGUGGGUGGUGUGCGAUAUAGUUUGGGCACAUGUUGGACUGGCCAGUUCGCUGUCCUUUGAGAUUGGGUCAGUUGUGGCUGAUUUUUAGCUAGUGAUAUAUUUAUAUGUCUACAGAGAGUAUAGUAUGGAUAGCGAUAGUAUAGUGAUAUUUAGUUAUAGAGUUUCUUCCAGCUUAUUUUAUUAUCUUUUUACCUAUCAGUUUAUUUUGCAUACUGUAGACUUAGUAGGUAGACUAUUGGGGUCGGUGACGGUAGCCAUUGAGGACUGCUCUGUUUUGUAGUAGUUUUCACACUCUUUGUUGUCACUUUUUUUGCAGAGCCGUCAGUUACUGUUGCUGCUUCUGAUCGAGAUAAGAGAGUCGCGAGCUAGAGCCCUAUCUUUUCCGGUCACCUUACUAGAGGAGUACCCCUGCCAGAGAUAGUUUUGGAUGCUGCCAUGUACAUAUAGUGUAUUUAGUUUUACUCUCCGAUAAGGUGGAUAUCUUGGGUGUUGGAUGGUCAGGGUUGUAUUUUGAAAAUUGUAUGUACAGUGGGCCUUUUUAUAUUUAUAUAUGUUUCAGUUUUAGUAGCUCUGUACUUCUUGUAGUUGCUUUUAUCUAUUUGCAGGUACAGUUAUCGCUUCGUAUAUACGAAAAAUUUCUAUGUAUGCAGCAUGUCUGUCGGCGAGACCAAGGAACGCGGUAAUUCGGGGCGU